rnacentral:rRNA from 1 species
GUGGGGAAUAUUGGACAAUGGGCGAAAGCCUGAUCCAGCAAUGCCGCAUGAGUGAUGAAGGCCUUAGGGUUGUAAAGCUCUUUCGGCGGGGACGAUAAUGACGGUACCCGCAGAAGAAGCCCCGGCUAACUCCGUGCCAGCAGCCGCGGUAAUACGGAGGGGGCUAGCGUUGUUCGGAAUCACUGGGCGUAAAGCGCACGUAGGCGGCUACUCCAGUCAGAGGUGAAAGCCCGGGGCUCAACUCCGGAAUUGCCUUUGAAACUAGGUAGCUUGAACGUCGGAGAGGUAAGUGGAAUUCCGAGUGUAGAGGUGAAAUUCGUAGAUAUUCGGAAGAACACCAGUGGCGAAGGCGACUUACUGGACGACUGUUGACGCUGAGGUGCGAAAGCGUGGGGAGCAAACAGGAUUAGAUACCCGUGUAGUCC